rnacentral:rRNA from 1 species
UACGGGGGGGGCAAGCGUUGUUCGGAAUUACUGGGCGUAAAGGGCUCGUAGGCGGCCAACUAAGUCGGACGUGAAAUCCCCAGGCUCAACCUGGGAACUGCGUCCGAUACUGGAUGGCUUGAAUUCGGGAGAGGGAUGCAGAAUUCCAGGUGUAGCGGUGAAAUGCGUAGAUAUCUGGAGGAAUACCGGUGGCGAAGGCGGCAUCCUGGACCGACAUUGACGCUGAGGAGCGAAAGCUAGGGGAGCGAACGGG